CCCAGGGCUUACGCCCUGGGCUGAUUUAUGUCGCGCUUUCAGCGCU
rnacentral:sRNA from 1 species